AUUGAACGCUGGCGGCAGGCCUAACACAUGCAAGUCGAACGAGUGGCGGACGGGUGAGUAAUGUCUGGGAAACUGCCCGAUGGAGGGGGAUAACUACUGGAAACGGUAGCUACUACCGCAUACCAUCGGAUGUGCCCAGAUGGGUGUAGCUAGUAGGUGGGGUAGCGGCUCCCCUAGGCGACGAUCCCUAGCUGGUCUGGGAGGAGGAACAGCGACACUGGAACUGAGACACGGUCCCGACCCCUACGGCAGGCAGCAGGGGGGAAUAUUGGACAAGGGGCGAAAGCCUGAGCCAGCCAUGCCGCGUGUGUGAAGAAGGUCUUCGGAUUGUAAAGCUAUUUAAGUUGGGAGGCGUUACCAACAGAAUAAGCACCGGCUAACUUCGUGCCAGCAGCGGCGGUAAUA
rnacentral:rRNA from 1 species